CGUGAGACAGUUCGGUCCCUAUCUGCCGUGGGCGUUGGAAGAUUGAAGGGGGCUGCUCCUAGUACGAGAGGACCGGAGUGGACGAACCGCUGGUGUUCGGGUUGUCAUGCCAAUGGCAUUGCCCGGUAGCUAAGUUCGGAAUUGAUAAGCGCUGAAAGCAUCUAAGCGCGAAGCGAGCCCUGAGAUGAGUCUUCCCUGGCACUUUAAGUGUCCUAAAGGGUUGUUCGAGACUAGAACGUUGAUAGGUUGGGUGUGUAAGCGCUGCGAGGCGUUGAGCUAACCAAUACUAAUUGCCCGUGAGGCUUAACCAUACAACACCGAAGGGGUUUUGU
rnacentral:rRNA from 1 species